rnacentral:rRNA from 1 species
UACGUAGGGAGCAAGCGUUGUCCGGAAUCAUUGGGCGUAAAGCGCGCGUAGGUGGCCUCAUAAGUCCGCUGUGAAAGUCAAAGGCUCAACCUUUGAAAGCCGGUGGAUACUGUGAGGCUAGAGUACGGAAGAGGCGAGUGGAAUUCCUGGUGUAGCGGUGGAAUGCGCAGAUAUCAGGAAGAACACCUAUGGCGAAGGCAGCUCUCUGGGACGGUACUGACGCUGAGACGCGAAAGCGUGGGGAGCGAACAGG